UGGGGAAUAUUGGACAAUGGGCGAAAGCCUGAUCCAGCCAUGCCGCGUGUGUGAAGAAGGUCUUCGGAUUGUAAAGCACUUUAAGUUGGGAGGAAGGGCAGUAAGCGAAUACCUUGCUGUUUUGACGUUACCGACAGAAUAAGCACCGGCUAACUCUGUGCCAGCAGCCGCGGUAAUACAGAGGGUGCAAGCGUUAAUCGGAAUUACUGGGCGUAAAGCGCGCGUAGGUGGUUCGUUAAGUUGAAUGUGAAAGCCCCGGGCUCAACCUGGGAACUGCAUCCAAAACUGGCGAGCUAUAGUAGGGCAGAGGGUGGUGGAAUUUCCUGUGUAGCGGUGAAAUGCGUAGGUAUAGGAAGGAACACCAGUGGCGAAGGCGACCACCUGGGCUCAUACUGACACUGAGGUGCGAAAGCGUGGGGAGCAAACAGG
rnacentral:rRNA from 1 species